rnacentral:rRNA from 1 species
GUGGGGAAUAUUGGACAAUGGGCGAAAGCCUGAUCCAGCCAUGCCGCGUGUGUGAAGAAGGUCUUCGGAUUGUAAAGCACUUUAAGUUGGGAGGAAGGGCAGUAAGUUAAUACCUUGCUGUUUUGACGUUACCGACAGAAUAAGCACCGGCUAACUUCGUGCCAGCAGCCGCGGUAAUACGAAGGGUGCAAGCGUUAAUCGGAAUUACUGGGCGUAAAGCGCGCGUAGGUGGUUUUGUAAGUUGGAGGUGAAAUCGCCGGGCUCAACCUGGGAACUGCCUCCAAAACUGCAUGACUAGAGUACGGUAGAGGGUAGUGGAAUUUCCUGUGUAGCGGUGAAAUGCGUAGAUAUAGGAAGGAACACCAGUGGCGAAGGCGACUACCUGGACUGAUACUGACACUGAGGUGCGAAAGCGUGGGGAGCAAACAGGAUUAGAUACCCGAGUAGUCC